rnacentral:rRNA from 1 species
GAUGAACGCUGGCGGCGUGCCUAAUACAUGCAAGUCGAGCGAACGGACGAGAAGCUUGCUUCUCUGAUGUUAGCGGCGGACGGGUGAGUAACACGUGGAUAACCUACCUAUAAGACUGGGAUAACUUCGGGAAACCGUAGCUAAUACCGGAUAAUAUUUUGAACCGCAUGGUUCAAAAGUGAAAGACGGUCUUGCUGUCACUUAUAGAUGGAUCCGCGCUGCAUUAGCUAGUUGGUAAGGUAACGGCUUACCAAGGCAACGAUGCAUAGCCGACCUGAGAGGGUGAUCGGCCACACUGGAACUGAGACACGGUCCAGACUCCUACGGGAGGCAGCAGUAGGGAAUCUUCCGCAAUGGGCGAAAGCCUGACGGAGCAACGCCGCGUGAGUGAUGAAGGUCUUCGGAUCGUAAAACUCUGUUAUUAGGGAAGAACAUAUGUGUAAGUAACUGUUCACAUCUUGACGGUACCUAAUCAGAAAGCCACGGCUAACUACGUG